CCGGCGGGACCGGCUGGUGCUCCGCGAUGUCCCGGAACAGCGGUGCCGCCGGCAGCGGCAGGUACCCGCCAGCUCGCACAGAGCCACGGUGAAAGCCUCGCCCGCCUUGGCGCCGAAGCCUCAGGCAGCAUCGGCAUCCCCCGCCCGCCCCGCAGCCCCGCAGCCCCUUCUCCCGGCGAAGACGUUGUAGGGCAAGCCGGCGUCGGUCAGGUGCUCCGCCGCACGUCCCGGGCAGCGCCUCCAGGCCGGCGGUGUAGAAAAGCUGGUGCCGUGACAGCGGUCAGGAAGCUGAGCCGCCUCUGUGGCCGGGCCAGGCAGAGGGCGUGCAGGUGGCUGAGGGAGGCACAGCCCCCCAGCCCGUUAAAGCCCAGGUGCGGUGUCCAGCGUCCCGCGCAGCAGCGGAGCCGGCAGCGCCUGCCCCAGCCCCCGCAGCAGCAGGACGUGGCUCCGCUCCCGCGGGCUGGCGGCGCUGGUCGGGCGGCGCGGAGCCGCCCCGUGCGGGCGGAGCAGCAUCUCGCCCGGGAGGAGCCGGGUGAAGCUGAAGGCGCCGGGUUUGAAGGGCUGCCGGAGGCUGUGGAUGUUCUGCGCUCGGCGCCUCGCUGCGCGUUGAGCUGAGAAAUGACUGAGCUGGCAAAACCUCUCUGGGGGACAGAUGACAGCAGCAUCUAAAAAGCCCAGAAUUCUGAAAUGAAUGUGUUGGAAGGAGGAAAUCAACAGAUUGCCCAGAAUCACACCUGAGCCAUGCAAACGUCAACCAAAGGUAUCUACCAAAAGAACAGUUCUUCUUGAUAUCUGGAAUGUAAAUGCAACCACAUCUUGAGAUCUAGACAGGAGUGUGCUAUCAAGAUGGUGUUGAUGUCCUCCAGGCAAAGAAGAGAGUUCUGAUUCACUGAUUAAAACUGAGCUGGUGACAUUAAUGGUGGAAACAUCAUUGUAGUUAUCAAUGGGUGCUUUGAAAAAUUGAGGUCCUAAGGAAGAUUAGAGAACAGAAAAAAACACCCCAACCUUGUAUUUGAACUCUGUAUUUAGCAAAAGAUCUCAGCCUCCUAGUAGGAGGUAUAUUGAGCAGACGGGUUGGUAGACACAUAGACAUCUGGUUUUGUCUGUCAUACAGAUGUUUAACUUGACUCCUUGCAGAUUAGCAACUA